rnacentral:lncRNA from 1 species
AUAUAUUGUUAUAUAUUUUCAUGUUAUGUAAAACUUCUUUAACAUAGAUAGAUUUAUGUAACAUAGACACCCGAAAAUUGCGAUAUAGGUUGACAUCUAUUUCAAAUGAUAUCAAAAAUUAACUUUGAAUAUGGGUGUAUGUAAAAACACUGGCAACCAGCUUGUAUGCCAAUAUAUAAAAGUCUCAUUGACCCAUGUUUCAGUGUAUGCUGAUGUAGCUUGUAAAAUGUGAGAGGGCAAGGAAAUUAGACGUUACAGUACUUUUCACAAACUAAUCUGGCUUUUGUCUAUAUACUACAAGAAGUAAUAAGAAAAAUCAAUUUCAGAAGAUUACCAAUCCUUUCUUCCUGGCAUCUUUCAAAAACUCUUAAAAGUGAAUUUGGCAUUGACAGAUACUAAAUGGCGAUAAUUAUGUUAUAUCAGCAAAACGAGUAAUGAACAGUUUUAGUCUUCAACGGCUGAAAUUACUCAGCAAACAUGAAUUCAUUGAAGAAACUGAUUGUCGUUGCUCUAGCAUAAAGAUCGUUGCACGAUCGACCUGAUAAAAGAUGAAAUUACUUAUAUAUGUGAUUAAUUAAAAAAAGACAAUUAGUUUGUAAAUAAUCAGGUGAAUGGUAGCCUUUAUUAUAUGGCUGGUUGUGUUCAGCACAGGAUGUUGUGCAUAGUUAAUGUAACAAUAUCAGUUUUUCAGUUCCAAAAUUAAAAAUUAUGUUUCACAUAGUAAAUUGGGUUUUCUUACUCUUUUGCAUUUUAUUCGUUUUUGUUAUAUAUUAUUUAAC